CCUACGGGUGGCAGCAGUGAGGAAUAUUGGUCAAUGGGCGCGAGCCUGAACCAGCCAAGUCGCGUGAGGGAAGACGGUCCUAUGGAUUGUAAACCUCUUUUGUCGGGGAGCAAAAGACGCCACGCGUGGCGUUCCGAGAGUACCCGAAGAAAAAGCAUCGGCUACCUCCGUGCCAGCAGCCGCGGUAAUACGGAGGAUGCGAAAGUUCUCAGGUUUUAUUGGGGUAAAAGGGUGGGCAGGCGGAAGAUCAAGUCAGCGGUAAAAUUGAGAGGCUCAACCUCUUCGAGCCGUUGAAACUGGUUUUCUUGAGUGAGCGAGAAGUAUGCGGAAGGCGUGGUGUAGCGGUGAAAUGCAUAGAUAUCACGCAGAACUCCGAUUGCGAAGGCAGCAUACCGGCGCUCAACUGACGCUCAUGCACGAAAGUGUGGGUAUCGAACAGGAUUAGAUACCCUUGUAGUC
rnacentral:rRNA from 1 species